rnacentral:rRNA from 1 species
GGUUAAGCGACUAAGCGUACACGGUGGAUGCCCUGGCAGUCAGAGGCGAUGAAGGACGUGCUAAUCUGCGAAAAGCGUCGGUAAGGUGAUAUGAACCGUUAUAACCGGCGAUGUCCGAAUGGGGAAACCCAGUGCAAUUCGUUGCACUAUCGUUAACUGAAUACAUAGGUUAACGAGGCGAACCGGGGAACUGAAACAUCUAAGUACCCCGAGGAAAAGAAAUCAACCGAGAUUCCCCAGUAGCGGCGAGCGAACGGGGAGCAGCCCAGAGUCUGAAUCAGCUUGUGUGUUAGUGGAACGGUCUGGAAAGUCCGACGGUACAGGGUGAUAGUCCCGUACACCAAAAUGCACAGGUUGUGAACUCGAAGAGUAGGGCGGGACACGUGGUAUCCUGUCUGAAUAUGGGGGACCAUCCUCCAAGGCUAAAUACUCCUGACUGACCGAUAGUGAACCAGUACCGUGAGGGAAAGGCGAAAAGAACCCCGGCGAGGGAGUGAAAAAGAACCUGAAACCGUGUACGUACAAGCAGUGGGAGCACCUUCGGGUGUGACUGCGUACCUUUGUAUAAUGGGUCAGCGACUUAUAUUCUGUAGCAAGGUUAACCGUAUAGGGAGCCGCAGGAAACCGAGUCUUAACUGGGCGUUAAGUUGCAGGGUAUAGACCCGAAACCCGGUGAUCUAGCCAUGGGCAGGUUGAAGGUUGGGUAACACUAACUGGAGGACCGAACCGACUAAUGUUGAAAAAUUAGCGGAUGACUUGUGGCUGGGGUGAAAGGCCAAUCAAACCGGGAGAUAGCUGGUUCUCCCCGAAAGCUAUUUAGGUAGCGCCUCGUGAACUCAUCUUCGGGGUAGAGCACUGUUUCGGCUAGGGGUCAUCCCGACUUACCAACCCGAUGCAAACUACGAAUACCGAAGAAUGUUAUCACGGGAGACACACGGCGGGUGCUAACGUCCGUCGUGAAGAGGGAAACAACCCAGACCGCCAGCUAAGGUCCCAAAGUCAUGGUUAAGUGGGAAACGAUGUGGGAAGGCACAGACAGCCAGGAUGUUGGCUUAGAAGCAGCCAUCAUUUAAAGAAAGCGUAAUAGCUCACUGGUCGAGUCGGCCUGCGCGGAAGAUGUAACGGGGCUAAACCAUGCACCGAAGCUGCGGCAGCGACACUAUGUGUUGUUGGGUAGGGGAGCGUUCUGUAAGCCUGCGAAGGUGUGCUGUGAGGCAUGCUGGAGGUAUCAGAAGUGCGAAUGCUGACAUAAGUAACGAUAAAGCGGGUGAAAAGCCCGCUCGCCGGAAGACCAAGGGUUCCUGUCCAACGUUAAUCGGGGCAGGGUGAGUCGACCCCUAAGGCGAGGCCGAAAGGCGUAGUCGAUGGGAAACAGGUUAAUAUUCCUGUACUUGGUGUUACUGCGAAGGGGGACGGAGAAGGCUAUGUUAGCCGGGCGACGGUUGUCCCGGUUUAAGCAUGUAGGCUGAUUAUCCGAGGGCAAAUCCGGAUAAUCAAGGCUGAGGUGUGAUGACGAGGCACUACGGUGCUGAAGUAACAAAUGCCCUGCUUCCAGGAAAAGCCUCUAAGCAUCAGGUAACAUUAAAUCGUACCCCAAACCGACACAGGUGGUCAGGUAGAGAAUACCAAGGCGCUUGAGAGAACUCGGGUGAAGGAACUAGGCAAAAUGGUGCCGUAACUUCGGGAGAAGGCACGCUGGUGUGUAGGUGAAGUCCCUGCGGAUGGAGCUGAGACCAGUCGAAGAUACCAGCUGGCUGCAACUGUUUAUUAAAAACACAGCACUGUGCAAACACGAAAGUGGACGUAUACGGUGUGACGCCUGCCCGGUGCCGGAAGGUUAAUUGAUGGGGUUAUCCGUAAGGAGAAGCUCUUGAUCGAAGCCCCGGUAAACGGCGGCCGUAACUAUAACGGUCCUAAGGUAGCGAAAUUCCUUGUCGGGUAAGUUCCGACCUGCACGAAUGGCGUAAUGAUGGCCGGGGGCUGUCUCCACCCGAGACUCAGUGAAAUUGAACUCGCUGUGAAGAUGCAGUGUACCCGCGGCAAGACGGAAAGACCCCGUGAACCUUUACUAUAGCUUGACACUGAACAUUGAGCCUUGAUGUGUAGGAUAGGUGGGAGGCUUUGAAGCGUGGACGCCAGUCUGCGUGGAGCCAACCUUGAAAUACCACCCUUUAAUGUUUGAUGUUCUAACGUUGGCCCCUGACCGGGGUUGCGGACAGUGUCUGGUGGGUAGUUUGACUGGGGCGGUCUCCUCCCAAAGCGUAACGGAGGAGCACGAAGGUUAGCUAAUCCUGGUCGGACAUCAGGAGGUUAGUGCAAUGGCAUAAGCUAGCUUGACUGCGAGCGUGACGGCGCGAGCAGGUGCGAAAGCAGGUCAUAGUGAUCCGGUGGUUCUGAAUGGAAGGGCCAUCGCUCAACGGAUAAAAGGUACUCCGGGGAUAACAGGCUGAUACCGCCCAAGAGUUCAUAUCGACGGCGGUGUUUGGCACCUCGAUGUCGGCUCAUCACAUCCUGGGGCUGAAGUAGGUCCCAAGGGUAUGGCUGUUCGCCAUUUAAAGUGGUACGCGAGCUGGGUUUAGAACGUCGUGAGACAGUUCGGUCCCUAUCUGCCGUGGGCGCUGGAGAAUUGAGGGGGCUGCUCCUAGUACGAGAGGACCGGAGUGGACGCAUCACUGGUGUUCGGGUUGUCAUGCCAAUGGCACUGCCCGGUAGCUAAAUGCGGAAGAGAUAAGUGCUGAAAGCAUCUAAGCACGAAACUUGCCCCGAGAUGAGUUCUCCCUGAGACUUUAAGUCUCCUGAAGGAACGUUGAAGACGACGACGUUGAUAGGCCGGGUGUGUAAGCGCAGCGAUGCGUUGAGCUUAACCGGUACUAAUGAACCGUGAGGCUUAACCUU